rnacentral:rRNA from 1 species
GACGAACGCUGGCGGCGUGCCUAAUACAUGCAAGUAGGACGCAGUUGCGAACGGCUGAGUAACGCGUAGGUACCUGCCUAUUAGAGGGGGAUAACUAUUGGACACGAUAGCUAAUACCGCAUACUAGUAGAUGGUGCUGCGUUGUAUUAGCUAGUAGGUAGGGUAAUGGCCUACCUAGGCGACGAUACAUAGCCGACCUGAGAGGGUGAUCGGCCAACCUGGGACUGAGACACGGCCCAGACUCCUACGGGAGGCAGCAGUAGGGAAUCUUCGGCAAUGGGGGGAACCCUGACCGAGCAACGCCGCGUGAGUGAAGAAGGUUUUCGGAUCGUAAAGCUCUGUUGUUAAGGAAGCGGUACUUAACCAGAAAGGGACGGCUAACUACGUGCCAGCAGCCGCGGUAAUUC